rnacentral:tRNA from 1 species
UAAACUAUAGCUUAUAUAAAGCAAUUAAAUGUUAAUUAAUAGAAACUAGAAUAGUUAGUUUAG